rnacentral:rRNA from 1 species
GUUCAUGGCUCAGAUUGAACGCUGGCGGCAGGCCUAACACAUGCAAGUCGAACGGUAACAGAAAGCAGCUUGCUGCUUUGCUGACGAGUGGCGGACGGGUGAGUAAUGUCUGGGAAACUGCCCGAUGGAGGGGGAUAACUACUGGAAACGGUAGCUAAUACCGCAUAACGUCGCAAGACCAAAGAGGGGGACCUUCGGGCCUCUUGCCAUCGGAUGUGCCCAGAUGGGAUUAGCUAGUAGGUGGGG